ACUCAAAGGAAUUGACGGGGGCCCGCACAAGCGGUGGAGCAUGUGGAUUAAUUCGACGCAACGCGAAGAACCUUACCAAGGCUUGACAUGGAUAUGGAAGCUGUAGAGAUACAGCCGACCUUCGGGACAUAUCACACAGGUGGUGCAUGGUUGUCGUCAGCUCGUGUCGUGAGAUGUUGGGUUAAGUCCCGCAACGAGCGCAACCCUUAUGUUUAGUAGCCAACGGGAAAGCCGGGCACACUAGAGAGACUGCCGUGGAGAACACGGAGGAAGGUGGGGACGACGUCAAAUCAUCAUGCCCCUUAUGUCUUGGGCUUCACACGUGCUACAAUGGGCGAAACAAAGUGAAGCAAGAUCGUGAGAUGGAGCGAAUCACGAAAAACGCCCUCAGUUCGGAUUGCAGGCUGCAACUCGCCUGCAUGAAGUUGGAAUCGCUAGUAAUCGCGAAUCAGCAUGUCGCGGUGAAUACGUUCCCGGGCCUUGUACACACCGCCCGU
rnacentral:rRNA from 1 species